CUUGAAAUAUCACCAGAUUUUAUUUUGUCUUUUCAGUUGGAGAUCAAUCAAAGAAGGACGGAGGUAUGACACAUUUUCCUUACUCAAAGCAACAGUUCAUACUGUGACCUAUUGCAAAGCUCAGUCGCAAUGCAUUUGGCUGGUCCAGGUCUUGAAAAUCAGAGCGCGAUUACACAUGGGCAAGCUACCGUGGGAAUGUGGAUUAACCAACCUGCUAAAUGCCCUCUGGAAAAUUUCCCAACAGUACUGACCACCCUCUCCCUGCCAGACCAACCCCUUCUCUCUAUAAUACCCUGCAUUCUCCCAUUCUUUAACAGCAGUGUGAGAGCCUUUUUCACCACUCUGCCACUUCUCUGUCAGACUUGCACUCACUUGCAGUGGGAAAACUUCUAAAGGCAGAUUUUACAGACUAUCCCAACCGUCAGGGUGAGUCAGGGCUGAAGUAACAGGGUGGAGGGGACGUGACCUGAACAUUAAAUGCGGAUUAUCCUGUGGACAGGCUCAAACUGGAAUCUUUGGUACUCCCAGAAUCCUCACAAGGGCCAAAGCCUGUCAGGACUUUUUGGGGAGUUUUUGUCAUCUGACUGAGUAGUUAAGUAGUUCAGACUCUUAAAGGCUGUUGUCAUCAUGUCAUUUCAACCACGCCUGUUCCUACAAAGGUUUUCCAUUUCAUUUGUUUCUUGAAAAACUUAACAAAAUCUUACUUUAAAUCUUUGAUUAAUGACAGUUAAAAACAGUUGUUCAUCACCGGUAGCCAUGCAAUAACAAAUUCAGUGAGAGUUGUCUGCAUUACUUUGUAUGUAUUUUGUUAACUGACCUGAAUCAAUGGCAAAAAUAUUAAAUAUGAAAU